rnacentral:rRNA from 1 species
CCUACGGGAGGCAGCAGUGGGGAAUAUUGCACAAUGGGGGAAACCCUGAUGCAGCGACGCCGCGUGAGUGAAGAAGUACUUCGGUAUGUAAAGCUCCAUCAGCAGGGAAGAAAAUGACGGUACCUGACUAAGAAGCCCCGGCUAACUACGUGCCAGCAGCCGCGGUAAUACGUAGGGGGCAAGCGUUAUUCGGAUUGACUGGGUGUAAAGGGAGCGUAGACGGCAAGACAAGUCAGAAGGGAAAGCCCAGGGCUCAACCCUGGGACUGCUUUUGAAACUGCCGGGCUGGAGUGCAGGAGAGGUAAGCGGAAUGCCUGGUGUAGCGGUGAAAUGCAUAGAUAUUAGGAAGAACACCAAUGGCGAAGGCGGCUUACUGGACUGUAACUGACGUUGAGGCUCGAAAGCGUGGGGAGCGAACAGGAUUAGAUACCCGAGUAGUC